GGCCCCAUCGUUUAGCGGCCUAGGACGCUGGCCUUUCACGCCGGUAGCACGGGUUCGAAUCCCGUUGGGGUCACCA
rnacentral:tRNA from 1 species